UAGGGAAUAUUGCACAAUGGGGGAAACCCUGAUGCAGCGACGCCGCGUGAGUGAUGAAGGACUUCGGUUUGUAAAGCUCUGUUCUUAGGGAAUAAAAAAAUGAAUGUACCUGAGGAGAAAGGGACGGCUAACUUCGUGCCAGCAGCCGCGGUAAUACGAAGGUCCCAAGCGUUGCUCGGAAUCAUUGGGCGUAAAGCGAGCGCAGGUGGUCUUGUAAGUCAGGAGUGAAAUCCCAGGGCUCAACCCUGGAAGUGCUUUUGAUACUGCGAGACUUGAAUGUGGGAGAGGGUACUAGAAUACCUAGUGUAGUGGUGAAAUACGUAGAUAUUAGGUGGAACACCGGUGGCGAAGGCGGGUGCCUGGCCCAACAUUGACACUUAGGCUCGAAAGCGUGGGGAUCAAACAGGAUUAGAUACCCCGGUAGUCC
rnacentral:rRNA from 1 species